GAAUUCGCCCUUAGAGUUUGAUCCUGGCUCAGGACGAACGCUGGCGGCGCGCCUAACACAUGCAAGUCGAACGAGAGGGAGGGAGCUUGCUUCCUUGAUCGAGUGGCGAACGGGUGAGUAACGCGUGAGGAACCUGCCUCAAAGAGGGGGACAACAGUUGGAAACGACUGCUAAUACCGCAUAAGCCUACGGUGCCGCAUGGCACAGAGGGAAAAGGAGCAAUCCGCUUUGAGAUGGCCUCGCGUCCGAUUAGCUAGUUGGUGAGGUAACGGCCCACCAAGGCGACGAUCGGUAGCCGGACUGAGAGGUUGAACGGCCACAUUGGGACUGAGACACGGCCCAGACUCCUACGGGAGGCAGCAGUGGGGAAUAUUGCACAAUGGGGGAAACCCUGAUGCAGCGACGCCGCGUGGAGGAAGAAGGUCUUCGGAUUGUAAACUCCUGUUGUUGAGGAAGAUAAUGACGGUACUCAACAAGGAAGUGACGGCUAACUACGUGCCAGCAGCCGCGGUAAAACGUAGGUCACAAGCGUUGUCCGGAAUUACUGGGUGUAAAGGGAGCGCAGGCGGGCGAUCAAGUUGGAAGUGAAAUCCAUGGGCUCAACCCAUGAACUGCUUUCAAAACUGGUCGUCUUGAGUAGUGCAGAGGUAGGCGGAAUUCCCGGUGUAGCGGUGGAAUGCGUAGAUAUCGGGAGGAACACCAGUGGCGAAGGCGGCCUACUGGGCACCAACUGACGCUGAGGCUCGAAAGUGUGGGUAGCAAACAGGAUUAGAUACCCUGGUAGUCCACACCGUAAACGAUGAUUACUAGGUGUUGGGAGAAUUGACCCUCUCAGUGCCGCAGUUAACACAAUAAGUAAUCCACCUGGGGAGUACGACCGCAAGGUUGAAACUCAAAGGAAUUGACGGGGGCCCGCACAAGCAGUGGAGUAUGUGGUUUAAUUCGACGCAACGCGAAGAACCUUACCAAGUCUUGACAUCCCUUGACGAUGCUGGAAACAGUAUUUCUCUUCGGAGCAAGGAGACAGGUGGUGCAUGGUUGUCGUCAGCUCGUGUCGUGAGAUGUUGGGUUAAGUCCCGCAACGAGCGCAACCCUUAUGGUCAGUUACUACGCAAGAGGACUCUGGCCAGACUGCCGUUGACAAAACGGAGGAAGGUGGGGAUGACGUCAAAUCAUCAUGCCCUUUAUGACUUGGGCUACACACGUACUACAAUGGCGUUAAACAAAGAGAAGCAAGACCGCGAGGUGGAGCAAAGCUCAGAAACAACGUCCCAGUUCGGACUGCAGGCUGCAACUCGCCUGCACGAAGUCGGAAUUGCUAGUAAUCGUGGAUCAGCAUGCCACGGUGAAUACGUUCCCGGGCCUUGCACACACCGCCCGUCA
rnacentral:rRNA from 1 species